CGAACGAACGCUGGCGGCGCGUCUUAAGCAUGCAAGUCGAACGGCAAGGCAGGUGCUUGCACCUGCCCUAGAGUGGCGGACUGGUGAGUAACACGUGGGUGACAUGCCUUUAGUUGGGGGAUAGCUACUAGAAAUAGUAGAUAAUACCGAAUGUGAUCAAUAUUUAUAGAUGAUGUUGAGGAAAGGAGCUAAGGCUUCGCUAAAAGAUUGGCCCGCGGCCCAUUAGCUAGUUGGUAGGGUAAAGGCUUACCAAGGCGAUGAUGGGUAUCCGGCCUGAGAGGGUGAUCGGACACAUUGGGACUGAGAUACGGCCCAGACUCCUACGGGAGGCAGCAGCUAAGAAUAUUCCACAAUGGACGAAAGUCUGAUGGAGCGACGCCGCGUGGAUGAUGAAGGCCCGAAAGGUUGUAAAAUCCUUUUACACUGGAGGAAUAAGCAGAGUAGGGAAUGACUCUGUGAUGACUGUACAGUUUGAAUAAGCAACGGCUAAUUACGUGCCAGCAGCCGC
rnacentral:rRNA from 1 species